GCUUGUGCGAGGUGCUGGUUGCCAUGGUUUCGAUGGUAUUGGCGGAUGCUUUCAGUUAGCUAAUCCUGCUCGAUGCUCUCCAAACCCUGAGAUGAAUGCACUUGAUGCCAGAUGCAGCUGGCCCUGCAUUCAGUCCUGAGCAUUCACAGACCCAUCGACUGAAUACAGCAGCUAGUCAAGCGCCCGCUCUCUCCGCUUAAGUUACCAAAUGACUGAAACAAAGUAUUGUGGACUGUCUGGUCACUGGUGAAGACAACAUGAUGAAAACUGACAUGAUGCUGCUGUCUCGUCUGCUCCUUCCAGAAAUACAGCACUAAACCUCCACAAUCACAGCAGACCUGCUUCAUUUACCAAAGCCGGAGAGAGAUAUUCAUCAACUGAAUGUUUCAAACUAGGUUUAAUGUUGCUGGAAUGCAUAAUGUAAUCUUCACCAGUUUGCAACAUUGUCUGCCAUUUAGCUGGCAAUAUGAAGCAUUCGCAACCCAUUUUGCUUCUGUAAUGUGACGUAUUUAUGAACGAAUCAGGAUAUCC
ensembl:lncRNA